UGCCACAGGAUAUAUAGUGGUGUCCUCAUGCCACAGGGUAUAUAGUGGUGUCCUCAUGCCACAGGGUAUAUAGUGGUGUCCUCAUGCCACAGGGUAUAUAGUGGUGUCCUCAUGCCACAGGGUAUAUAGUGGUGUCCUCAUGCCACAGGGUAUAUAGUGGUGUCCUCAUGCCACAGGGUAUAUAGUGGUGUCCUCAUGCCACAGGAUAUAUAGUGGUGUCCUCAUGCCACAGGGUAUAUAGUGGUGUCCUCAUGCCACAGGAUAUAUAGUGGUGUCCUCAUACCACAGGGUAUAUAGUGGUGUCCUCAUACCACAGGAUAUAUAGUGGUGUCCUCAUACCACAGGGUAUAUAGUGGUGUCCUCAUGCCACAGGGUAUAUAGUGGUGUCCUCAUGCCACAGGGUAUAUAGUGGUGUCCUCAUGCCACAGGGUAUAUAGUGGUGUCCUCAUGCCACAGGAUAUAUAGUGGUGUCCUCAUGCCACAGGGUAUAUAGUGGUAUCCUCAUGCCACAGGGUAUAUAGUGGUGUCCUCAUGCCACAGGGUAUAUAGUGGUGUCCUCAUGCCACAGGGUAUAUAGUGGUGUCCUCAUGCCACAGGGAUAUAUAGUGGUGUCCUCAUGCCACAGGGUAUAUAGUGGUGUCCUCAUACCACAGGAUAUAUAGUGGUGUCCUCAUGCCACAGGAUAUAUAGUGGUGUUCUCAUACCACAGGGUACUCCCCUCAGAUGCAUUCCCCAAACUGGAACAAGUUAACUUCCCCAAACCUUAAACUGCUGGGCUUAACAUUGAGUUUCGUGGAAGAGAACCCAGAAGCCUGACAUGCAGGCAAAAGGGUAAAAGUUUUUACCAGUCAGACUUCUGGCCUCUCUCCCCCUGUGCAAACUGGUUGAAUGAAUGAUAAAAUCACUGUUUAUAUCCUCUAUAAAGUGUUCAUUAAUGGGAAAAAGAUGUGUGAGGCUAGUCUUAAGGUGUAGCCAAUCUGGUGUGCUUUGUGUCUUUGUGUAUGGUUCUGUCAUAAAGGCUACAUUAGGACAGAAUGCAGACCUAGGACUCUGUAAGCCCAGUGUUCAAAGCCAGCCUGGCAAACUGGUCAGUAACAAACUUUGUUGCAAGUCUCCAUCUUGUUUUAUGUCUUUGGGAGCAUGAGCUGUAACCACGUGGCAACCUGUAACCACCAUUUGGUUUUGGUCUCUGCCAUUUUAUAAUGGUGGCCUGGGUUCAAUCUUGGCAUAGAGAACGAGUACUUUCUGGUUAAUGUCUGUGUGACUUUUACCAUUUGCUGAUUCACUUUCACUCCAUGAACAACUUCCAGCUUCCUUUAUUAAAUAUUCCUUUCUCUGAGCCACCUUUAAAGAUCCUAAAUUUUGUAAAAACUGCUUAUCACCUCUUUGAAAAUACUUCCUAUACUUGCAGUUAAGCCAUAACUGUAGUUGAGGCUUCUUGUUUUCACCUGUGAGGUUACUUUGGUAAAGUUCAAAGGCCAGAAAUAUUGGCCACUUGGCAUGGCUAACGUCAAGUAAUAAGGGAUUUGAAAAGAUUUUCUUAAGGAGCACUCAGCUUAAUUAAAAAUGAAUAACUAAGCUAUAGGUAUUUUUUAAAGGCCUUUAUGUUUUUCUCUUCUUGGAACUUGUUUUUCUGUAAAAAGAAAGAACUUUUCUUGUUUUUUUCUCAAUCAACCGAACUGUUUUUCUCCAUUUUGUCUUGCCACUCUUAGUGCAUGCAUGGCAGGGCCUAAGAUAACUUCUGAUAGCCUGAGACUUUGGGAAAAAGCAGAGAAGGAGCCACAAACUCCAUUUUGGUUAAAAAAAAAAAAAAAAAAAAAAAAA
rnacentral:lncRNA from 1 species